AAAAGCUCCGAGAACCAAAAUUAAGUUGGAACGCAACGUAUGAGUCUCUGCUGGGAAGCAAUAAGCCAUUCUCCCAACCGAUACCUCUUGGUGAAAUGGUAGAUUUGCUUGUGGAUGCUUGGGAGCAAGAAGGCCUGUAUGAUUAGGCCAGUGAAGUUCAUUGUUUGACUCAGAUUGAUCGCUUAAUUGUAUUCAGAACUUCAGAUGCACAGAAGCUCUAGGUUCUUGAACGUAUUACAUUUCUGAGCUCAAUAGUGUAUCAUGAUAUCAUCAAACAGGGCAGCAUUAUCAUUAAUCAAUUGUAGUAUAUUAAUCCUGUCAA